rnacentral:rRNA from 1 species
AUGCUCAUCUCAUGCACCCCAGACAGGGUGCAUGGAGGCAGCCAUGCUAGCCCUGACACUCAUCCCCACCCACGAGACCCAGACCACGUCCAGAUAUGUUUAUAUUUUCAAAAAAUGUUCAGAAUUUCAAAAUUUGUUUAA